rnacentral:rRNA from 3 species
GCUAGUUGUAUUAUUAGUUAAUGCAAGAUCGACUACGUCGACUAAAGUUCUAGGUAGAAUAAUGAUGAUGACAAUUUUUUACCUAUAUGUCUUGACCAAGUCUCGUGCCAGCAGUCGCGGUAAUACGUGGAAGACUAGUGUUAUUCAUCUUUAUUAGGUUUAAAGGGUACCUAGACGGUAUUUCUAGCCCAAAAUAGGGUACGGAUUUACUAGAGUUUUAUGUGAGGAGGGGAGUACUCGUGGAGUAGAGAUGAAAUUUUGUUAUACUAUGAGGUAACUGGUGGCGGCGAAAGCAACCUUCUAUGUAUAAACUGACGUUGAGGGACGAAGGCUUGGGUAGCAAAUAGGAUUAGAUACCCUAGUAGUCCAAGCAGACAAUUCUGAAUGCCAUAGAUUAGAUUAUUUUUGAUCUAUAAAUGAAAGUGUAAGCAUUCCACCUUAGGAGUAAUGUGGCAACACAGGAACUGAAAUCAUUAGACCGUUUCUGAAACCAGUAGUGAAGUAUGUUAUUUAAUUUGAUGGUCCACAAAAAACCUUACCACAACUUGAAUAUUUUUUAAUUAAUACAAGCGUUGCACGGCUGUCUUCAGUUAAUGUCGUGAGAUUUUGGUUAACUCCAUUAAUUAACGUAAACCCUUACUUUAUUUA